GUCCUUUCCAACUCAGCAUGUUCUGUGAUGCUGUGCUACUAUUUAGAGCUGGAAUGGGUACAGUGAAAGUUGAGAACUCUGGUGAUCUGUAGCUUGGCAACUGCAACAGUAGCCUGAGAUCUGGAAGGAGGCUCAUGAACUCAUGGAAUAAUGCCCUCUGCUCCUGGUGGCUCCUCAGUUAACAAGACACAAGGAUUAAAGGAAAGUACUCAUCUUUUUCUCAUCUUGUAAGGUUUUCUAAUGUUGGUAAGUUCAUGGGAACAUGAUUAAAUGGAAGUCAUCCUCUGCUGUACAAAGACAACCAAUGGAAGUUUAUAAAACUGCUAUUUCUAAAGGUAUUUGGAAGUUAUAAAGCUUUUACUUCUCCAGGCAUUUCUCUGUUGCACUUUUUAUUUUGCAUGAGCCACACUUGAUACCGUAUUGUGCCGUGUAGGAGUGAUUCUGAUGGCUUAGAAAGGCAACCCAAAUUAUGUAUGAGUUCCAAUGCUCAUAGAAACACAUUAGAAAAACAUUACACAGGAGCAAUAACUUGAGAUCCCAAACACGUUUUUUCCCCAUUAAUGAUACUCUAAAAUGCAGAAAGCACUUCUGUGAAGCAUGAAGGAUGGUCAGGGUUAGCUAAUGAGGCUGAUAGGUACAAUUGCUGCACGCUUGAUCUGUCUUGGACCCUAAUGCUUAUUUGGAUAUGUCUUAUUAUUGUGUGGGUGUUAAGUCUGUCCAAGCUCAUAAUCAAUAGAUAUAUGGUCAUUCACAGUGUUUAUGUCUCUGUCUUGGAUAGCUGGAACAAAGUGAUGAGAAUUUAGUUUGCUAGGUUCAUACAGAAAAUUUCUCAUGGACAAUCUGAGCAAACUAAUUGCUGGCAUUAACCUGGGAGUCAUAUGAGCUGUGGUAAUGAUACAGGUAAUGAACCCCCCACCUUUGGCUAUCACUUUAUUACCUCCAGGGUCAGUAAAUAAUUUAUUCAACCUUCAGUUGCAUUAUAAUUGGCUAUUUGUACCUGGGAAGGUUUUGGUAUUGUACAGUAUCUUCAGAUAUCCUUUGACUGUAAAAAUGCUUUAGGUACAUCAGAAAAAAGAAUGGUGGGGACCCACUGUCAAAGUCUGUUGGGAAAUGGAGAGUUAAAAACCUUGUAAUUUUCAGUCACAGAUCUUUGAUCGUUAAAGGAAACAGUCAGAACUGACAGCUUAGCAAUAGCUUAGUAGAUCUAUAAAAACUGUAUAUCAACAAAAUGGUGAUAGCUUGAUGUUGCAUGAACAUCCUGAACCAAGCAGGGCAGUUCUUUGCUAAGUGUAGCUCUGUUUUGUUCAUAUGACAACUCAAUCUCACAGAGAGACAGCAACAUUUCUUUGUAAGCUGUACGGAAAGCCUGGGGAGAGAACGAUUUUAAUUUAAGCUGGUUUUGCAAAGGCUAUCGACUUUAGGCAUUCUGAGUUCAUUAUCCCAGGCAAAGAGGCACAGGUGUCUGUCAGUGUCAGGAAGUUAAAACGAUGCCCACAGCAAAGAAUUCUGGCAGCAGCUCCAGUGUGAGCUGGGACUUGGUGCUUAGGCAGACCCAGGCCCUUUUCCAAGAAGGGCUCCUGUGCGGUGGGCAGGUGCCUCUGAGCUGACGAGGGGUGCUCUUUCCUGCCAUUUCACACCCACAGAGGUGCUAGUUCUGUUUUAAAAAGCACCUGUAAAAGGUGGAAAAAUGAUACCCAUAGCCACAAGGUGGCCAGGAACAUUUUCCUAAAGUAUCUCUUAUAUUUCACUACUCAUUUAAACAUGGAGCUGCUAAACAGGACUGGUUCUCAUCUGGCAAUCAGCCCAAGGAGUUACUGAAUUUCCUUUAAGGCAUUUCAGUAGUUUUGGUUAGAUGUGUUAUCUGUAGAAAAAUUACUUAGAAUUAACCUAAGUCUAAAAUGUGAUCCCAAAUCUCCUGCUUGCUGGCUGCCUACAGUGCUAUGGCUUUUAUUUGCAUAUAUUUAGGGAUCAUGGGACUGCUCCUGUUUGAAACAGCUCUGCCAGUAGCUGCAGCUAAAAUCAGAUCACACGUCCACUAGGGUUAAAAAUUCUGGACACUCAGCACACACCCUCAAGAUUAUGUAGCUGUAUCUACCACACU